GCUAACGCUUGGACAGGCGGCGCGGUAAUACAGAGGGGGGAAACGUUAUUCGGGAGUAUGUGGCGGAAAGGGCGCGUUGGCGGGUUCUUAAGGUCGAAUGUCAAUGCCCGGGCUCAACCCGGGAACUGCAUCCGAGACUGGGAGGCUAGAGUACUGGAGAGGGUGGUGGAAUUCCUCGUGUAGCGGUGAAAUGCGUAGAGAUGAGGAGGAACACCAGUGGCGAAGGCGGCCACCUGGACAGUAACUGACGCUGAGGCGCGAAAGCGUGGGUAGCAAACAGGAUUAGAUACCCUAGUAGUC
rnacentral:rRNA from 1 species